UACGUAGGGUGCGAGCGUUGUCCGGAAUUAUUGGGCGUAAAGAGCUCGUAGGCGGUGUGUCACGUCGGCCGUGAAAACCUGCAGCUUAACUGUGGGCGUGCGGUCGAUACGGGCAUCACUGGAGUUCGGCAGGGGAGACUGGAAUUCCUGGUGUAGCGGUGAAAUGCGCAGAUAUCUGGAGGAACACCGGUGGCGAAGGCGGCAUCCUGGACCAAUACUGACACUGAGGAGCGAAAGCCAGGGGAGCAGACGGG
rnacentral:rRNA from 1 species